GCAACAGUAUGACUUUUAUAAGGUGGAUGCAAAAGUAGAAGGGACCACACUAGCAGUUGUUGUCCUGGCGACACCCAGUCCAUACCUGCUCUGCAACUAUUAGUCACGUGCCAUUGCAGGUGACAUACAUCGUCUCAUGCAGCACCAGUGUAUAAAUAGAGAACGAACACACACAUCAGACAUCGUUCAGUUUGAUUUCGGGAUCAGGAAAAGAUUUUCUACCGCAGCUAUCAACCAGACAACAUGGCUGACACCCAAGUAGACAAGAAGGAGGAGAGUUCAAGUGCACCUGAGGAAGACGAGGGAAGCUCUGAGUCAGACGGAGAAGGAGGAAGGUGCAAAAAGAACCGUGGAAAGAAGGCAGUGAAAUGUAGAGGCCAGGGACAUGGAAAGGGCCAUGAAGGAAAAGGAGAAGGAAAAGGAGAAGGAAAAGGAGAAGGAGGAAAAGGAAAAUCUGGAAAAUGAAAGAGAGCCGUGCUGGUGGUCACAAAAAAUAAGGAAGAAAUCCAUGAUCACCAUUUAGUUAUUUACUGAGUGUAUAGAAUUUACACAUCUUUAAUAAACUAAUAAAAAUAAAAAAGAC